AAAAGUUUGACAACACUCGAUGGGUCCGCCGCCUGCAGAAAAAGGAUCACCAAAAAAUUUGACUUUUGAAGUCUGCAUCGACUGUUCUUACUUCGCUAACAUUACAAUUAGAAAAGUAGAAAACCUAGAAAGGAUUUUGAUAUUAGAAAAAGAAAAAGGAAUGCUGCUGGAAGUUGCAGUAGACUAGAAUUAUCUCCAAAUAUUAAAGGUUGAUGAUUCUUGCAUUAUAACAUGAAAUUCAAUCGAAUCCUUUACUACUUAUCUUGUGAGUGGAGCUCAGACAGCAAUUGACAACUCCCAUAUGCAGUUUCGUCCUAAAUUUCUGAAUCGAUCCCACCAUAAGAGAUCGAUUAUUGCAAUCACUUAAUAGAUGUUCCUGCCCCCACUACAUAUAAAAGCGACCCGACCUGUGGAAAAAACAAAAAAGAAAAGACAAAAUGACUCAAAAUCAGAGUUUUUAUCAGAAAAGGAAAAUUAAAGUCAGUCUCCACGAUACAGGUGCCCCCACUAGGAUCACAACAAUAUUUGGGAAUCAUUACACAAAAUAUCAAAAAGGUCAAAGAAUUAUUGGGAAGGUUUUGUCCACUAAAUCGAAGGAAGAUAUACCUUUUUUUUUUUAUUUUUUGGACGUUUGAUGUGUAAGGUUUUAGCACUGAAAUUAGUUAAGAUAGAAAAAUUACGUAGAAAACUUUGUAUUUCACAGUAACAUUUUUUUUUUUUUUGCUACUCGUAAAAUAGGAGAGCACAAUUGGAGGAUAAAAAAAAAAAGACAAAUUAAAUGGGACUUACCGUGCAUGUUCUGAACUCUGAAGAGAGAACCAAUAUCGUUAUUAAAUGGGACGAUAUAGGAUCCGAUUCAAUGACAACUUUGUAAUAAUGAUGGUAAAUUACUUAUUCUGCUUCGUCUUGGUAGUGAGUAUGGCAGAAGCUGUA
rnacentral:lncRNA from 1 species